rnacentral:misc_RNA from 1 species
GCAACGAUUGAAUUGGGUAAAGUAAUACCAAUCUGACAGGUGUACCUGUCAUAAUUCUGUUACGUCAUGUACAUAAUUAGUUGU